CCUACGGGAGGCAGCAGUGGGGAAUAUUGCACAAUGGAGGGAACUCUGAUGCAGCGACGCCGCGUGAGUGAAGAAGUAAUUCGUUAUGUAAAGCUCUAUCAGCAGGGAAGAAAGUGACGGUACCUGAAAAAGAAGCUCCGGCUAAAUACGUGCCAGCAGCCGCGGUAAUACGUAUGGAGCAAGCGUUAUCUGGAUUUACUGGGUGUAAAGGGGGAGUAGGUGGCAGAGCAAGUACGAGGUGAAAACCCAAGGCUCAACUAGGGGAAUGCUUUAAAAACUGCCCAGCUAGAGUGCAGGAGAGGCGAGUGGAAUUCUUAGUGUAGCGGUGGAAUGCGUAGAUAUUAGGAGGAACACCAGAGGCGAAGGCGGCUUACUGGACUGUAACUGACGCUGAGGCUCGAAAGCGUGGGGAGCAAACAGGAUUAGAUACCCGUGUAGUC
rnacentral:rRNA from 1 species